rnacentral:rRNA from 1 species
GACGAACGCUGGCGGCGUGCCUAAUACAUGCAAGUUGAGCGAUGAAGAUUGGUGCUUGCACCAAUUUGAAGAGCAGCGAACGGGUGAGUAACGCGUGGGGAAUCUGCCUUUGAGCGGGGGACAACAUUUGGAAACGAAUGCUAAUACCGCAUAACAACUUUAAACAUAAGUUUUAAGUUUGAAAGAUGCAAUUGCAUCACUCAAAGAUGAUCCCGCGUUGUAUUAGCUAGUUGGUGAGGUAAAGGCUCACCAAGGCGAUGAUACAUAGCCGACCUGAGAGGGUGAUCGGCCACAUUGGGACUGAGACACGGCCCAAACUCCUACGGGAGGCAGCAGUAGGGAAUCUUCGGCAAUGGACGAAAGUCUGACCGAGCAACGCCGCGUGAGGGAAGAAGGUUUUCGGAUCGUAAAACUCUGUUGGUAGAGAAGAACGUUGGUGAGAGUGGAAAGCCCAUCAAGUGACGGUAACUACCCAGAAAGGGACGGCUAACUACGUG